CGAGCAACUGAAAGUCAAAUUCCGGCCCUGUGUAUAAUGUCAACGACACGUGAGUGCGGUCACACAGUACUUAUUAUAAUAUGCUUGUAUACUAUUGUCACGGUUUCGAGAUUAAGUUUCCAAAGCAAACUUUAAUUCGCAUCAAAGUUAGACGUUGAGCACGUGUACGACCUAAACGCAUCCCGUAUAUAAUUAUUAAAUACGUUUCGGCCGGUCUCCGAUGUCUUCAUAGGCGU